rnacentral:rRNA from 1 species
ACGAACGCUGGCGGCGUGCCUAAUACAUGCAAGUAGAACGCUGAAGGAGGAGCUUGCUCCUCUGGAUGAGUUGCGAACGGGUGAGUAACGCGUAGGUAACCUGCCUGGUAGCGGGGGAUAACUAUUGGAAACGAUAGCUAAUACCGCAUAACAGUAGAUGUUGCAUGACAUUUACUUAAAAGGUGCAAUUGCAUCACUACCAGAUGGACCUGCGUUGUAUUAGCUAGUUGGUGGGGUAACGGCUCACCAAGGCGACGAUACAUAGCCGACCUGAGAGGGGGAUCGGCCACACUGGGACUGAGACACGGCCCAGACUCCUACGGGAGGCAGCAGUAGGGAAUCUUCGGCAAUGGACGGAAGUCUGACCGAGCAACGCCGCGUGAGUGAAGAAGGGUUUCGGAUCGUAAAGCUCUGUUGUAAGAGAAGAACGAGUGUGAGAGUGGAAAGUUCACACUGUGACGGUAUCUUACCAGAAAGAGACGGCUAACUACGUG